UGUGCAUGUUUUGCAGUGCAUUGUGGGAUAUCCGCAGGCCGGGACCUGUUGUCCUGGCCUCUGGAGCUUUGUGCUGAGCCACACAGUGCAGAUCGUAUGGGAGCACAGUCCACACUCCCAAAAACAUUUCAGCGACUGUCUGGGAGGAAGAUCAUCAAGAUGUAAUUCACCUACAAAAUGGGUGGCUGAUGAGACGGUGACAAUUCGAGCAUUGUGGCUGUGGGUUCCCGAUUGCUUCAAUGUUUCCAAAAGAAGGUUAGUCAACAAGAAGUGUCCCAUGUAGUUAACAGCAAAAUGCUCUUCAAACCCAUCCUCUGUUUUCCUUUCAGGCACCAGCAUCACUGCAGCUGGGAAAAAAGAAAAUGAAAAUAUACAUAUACAUAGAGAGAGUCCAAUUCAAGCGGAAUCCAGGUGGAAUUGUGGUGAAUGGACCAUUCUCUGAUUCAUUCACAAUCAGAAGCUGAACAGUUUCAUGCUACUGCAAACUAGCCACCUCAGUACAGAUGCAGCAGUGGUGUGUUAAAUAGAGAAUGACUGACUCAGAUGAUCUGGUCCUUGGGCAGGAUAUGGAUAUGAGCAAAGUUUUUUAAAUGUUGCAAAAAUAGAGAGAUAAACAGACAAAUAGAAUGAUGCUCUUCUCAUCUUUUUAAAAGAAAACCUAUAGUAUUUUUACAGAGGGGUAGACUAACAUCCCAAACCUCUAAACCACAGCACUAGCACAGUAACUCAAUACAUUUGUGGAAUAUGGUUUCAGCCCUAGUGUGAAGACACAGCAACAUUAUCUGUGACUCAGCUGCCAUGUAUGAGUGCCACACAAGCAUUUAUUGCUUUUUUACUGUUAAUUUUUUACAUACCUUUCAAAACAAAUGACAGAGCUGGGAGUAGGGCAAGCUUAGUCACAGUUCCUCAUGUAAGAUUCAAAUAACAACUGGAGUACUAAAAGAGCUGGCUUGCUACAGCACAUGCGUUUCCCCCCUGAAGUUUUACAACUCAAGACAAAUCGGGGAAAGAGAUGGACAAGUCAGCUCAACUUGUCAAGGUUAGGAUAGCACUGCAGUAGUACUACCGUUGACAGUAAAGCAGCUUUACAUGGUUGGCUUGCCAGGAGCUGCAGGGAAAGGCUCAUUAAGUCAAAAUAAAACACUUCAAACAUCAAACAAAUGGUUGAUGUUUAAACAUUAAAAGAACAUAUCCUUGCUUUCAAAACCAUUUUGUUCACUUCAGACACUUUGCAGCUAGUCUAUUUGUAACCAUUGGUUUAAUCCACAUUUUAUUCUGUUUAGCUUUUCUUUUAAUUUUUUAAAAAAGCUUUUCCAAUAAAA